CUGCGGAGGAUCAUUAUUGAAAUGUUUUGAAGGGGGACUGUUGCUGGUCUUGUAACAGAGGCAUGUGCACGUCUUCUCUCAAUCUUAUUCAUCCACCUGUGCACCUUUCUGUAGAAGCUUUUUCAGGUCGUUGUUAGGGGCUGUACCUCGGUGUAGCUCUGUUUGAUGACUCUGGGCUUCUAUGUCUUACAAACUCUAAUUAAAUGUAUUUGAAUGUCUUUUUAUUGGGACUUAACUGGCCCUUUAAAACUUAUACAACUUUCAGCAACGGAUCUCUUGGCUCUCGCAUCGAUAAAAAACGCAGCGAAAUGCGAUAAGUAAUGUGAAUUGCAAAAUUCAGUGAAUCAUCGAAUCUUUGAACGCACCUUGCGCCCCUUGGUAUUCCGAGGGGCAUGCCUGUUUGAGUGUCAUUAAAUUCUCAACUUCAAAAGUUUUCUUUUGAAGCUUGGACUGUGGAGGCUUGCUGGCAUCACUUAGAUGUUCUCGGCUCCUCUUAAAUGCAUUAGCGGAAACCGGAUUAGUCGGACCUAAGCCUUGGUGUGAUAAUUAUCUACGCCUUGGUGUCUGACAAGGCUCUCUUUGGUUGGGAUAGUUGCAACUAAGCUUGCUCUGUCUGCUUUCAUUUCAAGGAGCUGUGUAGGGUGUCUGCUCUCUAACCGUCUGUUUCACGGACAAAGUAAACAUUGACUUGUUUGACCUCAAAUCAGGUAGGACUACCCGCUGAACUUA
rnacentral:rRNA from 1 species